UAGGGAAUCUUCGGCAAUGGACGAAAGUCUGACCGAGCAACGCCGCGUGAGUGAAGAAGGUUUUCGGAUCGUAAAACUCUGUUGUUAGAGAAGAACAAGGACGUUAGUAACUGAACGUCCCCUGACGGUAUCUAACCAGAAAGCCACGGCUAACUACGUGCCAGCAGCCGCGGUAAUACGUAGGUGGCAAGCGUUGUCCGGAUUUAUUGGGCGUAAAGCGAGCGCAGGCGGUUUCUUAAGUCUGAUGUGAAAGCCCCCGGCUCAACCGGGGAGGGUCAUUGGAAACUGGGAGACUUGAGUGCAGAAGAGGAGAGUGGAAUUCCAUGUGUAGCGGUGAAAUGCGUAGAUAUAUGGAGGAACACCAGUGGCGAGGGCGGCUCUUUGGUCUGUAACUGACGCUGAGGCUCGAAAGCGUGGGGAGCAAACAGG
rnacentral:rRNA from 1 species